UGAGGUGUUUUGGCCCUGGGGAAGGAAAUGGCAACCCUCUCCAAUAUUCUUGCCUGGAAAAUCCCAGGGACUGAGGAGCCUGGUGCGCUGCAGUCCAUGGGGUUGCAAAGAGUCGGACACAACUGAGAGACUGAGGUGAUUUGGAAGCUUGUCGUCCUCUCUCGUCGUUCAGCUGUAAAGGAAUGAGAGAAGUUUAUGAAACAGUUGCUAAAACUCCAGUUCCUUCAGAUGCGUUUUUCAUUCAUUCAGUGUGGAAGGGAUGUUACAAAUAUUUAAGGAAAAGACAGCCUGUGAUCCUAAGUCUCUACUGGUUCAACAAGCAGCAAAGUGAGCUCGAUCUUAAUCAAGGCCUCCCGGGGGGGAGCUGAAGUUCUGCAAGGAUCAAGUCUUUACCUGUUGCCAUCCCAGAACUGCAAGACAUCCUGGAAGGAAUUCGGCGCUGUGGAUAUCCAGUCCCCUAGACGGUCUAGAUGAGGAAGGAGACAGACGGGCCCCUGGGCUGGACAACUGGUGUUUGUCAAAUGGAGUAAAACUGAAGUUUUCUUCUCACCCAGAUACUCCAAGGAUAAAGCUAGAGGCAGAAGCUGGACUCUGCUAAAGUAAAGAGAUAAAAAUGACCACUCCUGAGACCAAGGAAAACUUCCCUGUUUGCACAUGCGGAGGAAGGCUCCUUGGGGGUCAAAAAGGGAGGGGUCACUACCGCUCCCCCAUAACAAGUGUGGACAUGCACCCACAGGCCUCUGAGGUGGGAUCCAUCUUAGCAAAAAGAUGUGUACAUGUACUAGGGGAGUGUCCCAGGGCUGGUCAGGUGUGAAAAAAUACAUAAUUGUUCAAAGGCAAGGACCCAGAAGGACUGUCCUAUUGAAAUGAUUUAAAUCACCUCUUUAUUACGCUCCUCCUCAUCAGAGAGGACGCCACACCCUUUCUCUCCAGACCUAUAUUUCUGCUUUGCCUCUCACUUAAAUAAACUGCUUCACUGUGUGCCCUCCCAUACGCUGUGCUGUGUCUCUAAUAAUAAAACUUUGUACCUGU